AAUAUAGUAAUAUAUAUAUUGCUCCAUGUAUGUACUGUUAUGCACGUCAUGAACAAGCUGCUGUCAAAAAAGCUGCCACUGUCAGUCUGAGUCAUUUGUGUCAACACUCCAAGUGAAAACAGCACUGACCUUUCACAACCAGGCAACAUUCAAUAGCUGAGCUCCAGGAGGUCCAACUAACAGUGGUGACCCAGGUGGCCCGGGAAGUCCAACAUCACCCUGUGGAAACCAAAGGAACAACAGAAAGAUGUUCUGUUCCAUGCAGCAUUUCAGUGAGAUAUGGAAUGUUUUUCUGUUGCACU